rnacentral:rRNA from 1 species
UCGAGAAUUUUUCACAAUGGGCGAAAGCCUGAUGGAGCGACGCCGCGUGGGGGAUGAAUGGCUUCGGCCCGUAAACCCCUGUCAUUCGCGAGCAAACGUUAUUAUUUAAAAGAUGAUAGCCUGAUAGUAGCGAAAGAGGAAGGGACGGCUAACUCUGUGCCAGCAGCCGCGGUAAUACAGAGGUCCCAAGCGUUGUUCGGAUUUACUGGGCGUAAAGGGUGCGUAGGUGGUGGGGUAAGUCGGAUGUGAAAUCUCCGAGCUCAACUCGGAAAGGGCAGUGGAGACUACCCUGCUCGGGGGGUGGAGGGGGGACUGGAAUACUUGGUGUAGCAGUGAAAUGCGUAGAGAUCGAGUGGAGCACCAGUGGCGAAGGCGAGUCCCUGGACAACUCCUGACACUGAGGCACGAAAGCUAGGGGAGCAAACAG